UCACAGUGUAGCAGAGUAAAAUCACAGUACUGCGAAUGCAGCUAUUAAGAAAAAUGCGGAUUCUCAUUAUCUUACUUGCAUUCCUGUUUGGGACAAGCCAGGCACAGGCACCAUUAUGUGGCUGUGCACCCAUACUCGACCCGGUAUGCGGCACAAAUGGGCUGAGUUACCGUAAUCCGUGCGAGUUAGGAUGUGAUUAUAACUCACCCAUCAAACCGACUGUAGCAUACAAAGGCAGAUGUAUACCGACUCCCCCUAGGACUUAUUCUUUUCCUACACCCCCAUCCCCCUACCGGACAUCCCUACCACCUCCCCCAUCACUCUACCCGACACCCCUACCACCAUCCCCAUCCCCCUACCCGACACCCCUACCACCUGCCCCAUCACCCUACCCGACACCCUUACCACCUGCCCCAUCACCCUACCCGACACCCUUACCACCUGCCCCAUCACCCUACCCGACACCCUUACCACCUGCCCCAUCACCCUACCCGACACCCUUACCACCUGCCCCAUCACCCUACCCGACACCCUUACCACCUGCCCCAUCACCCUACCCGACACCCUUACCACCUGCCCCAUCACCCUACCCGACACCCCUACCCCCUAGACCUGCUCCGGUACUAUAUUAAAACAAUUUUCAACGGAAAUAAAGCAUGAAUUGUAUUAAAA